rnacentral:lncRNA from 1 species
GUUUUUUUUAUAGCUCCACAGGCCUAAGAAAGUUAACAGAAUUGUAGAAAAUAAAAAACAGUAUGCAUUCUCUCCACUCAUCCAAGGCUUGUGGCUGGAAUGCUUUUACAGGAAAAGCAAAAACAAAACGAAACAAAAAAAAACCAAACAGCAAAGUGACACAUGACAAAGCUUGGAACCCACCAGCCCACCACCACCGUCACUGCAAAUAAUGAAAACUCUCCCUCUUGCUUUUAUCAAGAGAGGAGGACAAACCAUGAAAAUUAUAUUUAACUUUUUACUUGCUGGAUACAGACCUAUCCCUUAUUAACAGUAUUUAAAAAGCAUUAUAUAGGGUAUCAACUACUUACCUCGCUCUAGAACCCUCUGUACUUUAAUGUGGUUGGCACAGAACCCACUGUAUAGCUUAAAGUGAUCCGCAUAGUAGAGGAAAGAACCUCCAAGGGAGAACAGCAAUUUCUAGAAGGCAGGAGAGAAGGUCAAAUCAGACAUGCCUUGCAUGUGCUCUGACUUCAGCAAAGAAUUUGCUUCUGACAAUUGUCAGUACUGUUCUGUUCAGUCUGUAGAUGGAGAACAGUCUAAGCCUUGCCCUAGCAGACCUUAGACUGGUGGGAAAGGUUCUGACAGAGACACCUCUUGGAAGCAGAUUAACUAUCUGAAGGAAUUCACUACAAAUGGGCUAAGGCACUGUUUCUCUACCAACUUCUGACGGUCUUGGGCAGCCCCUGUGAAAGGGUCAUUAGACCCCCAAAAGGAUCACAACCAACUGGUUGAGCACCACUGGCUUAAGGGGUGGGGUAUGGACAUUCUCAGAACCACCUACUCCAUACUUGGGAUGAAUGUUCCUACUGUAUGCUUCUAACUUCCUUUCUACUGCCUUCCCUCUCACCUCUGGAAGAACUCCCUGUCAGCCAUGGUCCUUACAGUUACUCCUUCACAAGGACAAAGCUCCCUGAUAGCCGUCUGGAAUCCACGUUCUCCAGCCCAGUUUCCUAAGACCUCAUAAGAGAGGCACCCAGUACAGGGGAGCUGCUCUUGCUUUAAAAGAAGUUUCUACCUCAGUACCUUUCCUGAAAGUCAGUGGAGUAGAUGUGGCGGAUCAGGUGAUCCAGCCUGACCCCUGAACACAGUCACUCCAGGGCUAAACCACGAAGCUGCCUUUCCCCACCCACAAAGCAAGCAACGCAAUAAAAACACCGAAUUCACCGACAUGGAGGAAAGAAGUUUACAUCCUACUCAACUACAUUUGCGUUAAUCCAAAUUCAAAAUACUUACUCGAAACUGUGAGGGGGUUUCCAGGACACUAAAGUCCGAGGAAGCGGAGAUCGCAUCCUCCAACGUCUCCAGGAACACCUUUUGAAACUCCAGCAUCUCUGGCAGGCUCCCAAAAAGUGACUCCAUCUACAUGAAGGGUGGGGUGUAAAAAGAUGUGGCCGGUACAAGCUAGGCUCCCUCAGCCCCGUGCACAGGAAGUGCACCCUAGACGCAGGCAAAAGCAGAACCUUACAGAGCAUAGUCACAGGGGUAUAGUCUACACCUAGAGAGACCCAACUUCAUCUCCCUACAAUUCCACAGUUCCAAGGUUACUUUUUAAGUGGAUUUGGAAUUUAAAAAUAAGGGAAAAUGGAAAUUAGAAAAAAAAACUAAUUCCUAUGAUUUAGUAUUAAUAAUCCAUAAACUGAAAAGUAACUUUUGGCCAUACCUCCU